UACAGAGGGGGCAAGCGUUGUUCGGAAUUACUGGGCGUAAAGGGCGCGUAGGCGGCCGCCUAAGUCAGACGUGAAAUCCCUCGGCUCAACCGGGGAACUGCGUCUGAUACUGGGUGGCUUGAAUCCGGGAGAGGGAUGUGGAAUUCCAGGUGUAGCGGUGAAAUGCGUAGAUAUCUGGAGGAACACCGGUGGCGAAGGCGGCAUCCUGGACCGGCAUUGACGCUGAGGCGCGAAAGCCAGGGGAGCAAACGGG
rnacentral:rRNA from 1 species